CAGCGGGGGCUUCGGCCUGCCGGCGAGUGGCGAACGGGUGAGUAAUGCAUCGGAACGUGCCCAGUCAUGGGGGAUAACUACGCGAAAGCGUAGCUAAUACCGCAUACGCCCUGAGGGGGAAAGUGGGGGAUCUUCGGACCUCACGUGAUUGGAGCGGCCGAUGUCAGAUUAGCUAGUUGGUGAGGUAAAGGCUCACCAAGGCGACGAUCUGUAGCGGGUCUGAGAGGAUGAUCCGCCACACUGGGACUGAGACACGGCCCAGACUCCUACGGGAGGCAGCAGUGGGGAAUUUUGGACAAUGGGCGCAAGCCUGAUCCAGCCAUGCCGCGUGAGUGAAGAAGGCCUUCGGGUUGUAAAGCUCUUUCGCAAGGGAAGAAAACGUGUGGGCUAAUAUCCUGCGCGGAUGACGGUACCUUGACAAGAAGCACCGGCUAACUACGUGCCAGCAGCCGCGGUAAUACGUAGGGUGCGAGCGUUAAUCGGAAUUACUGGGCGUAAAGCGUGCGCAGGCGGUUGUG
rnacentral:rRNA from 1 species